CUCCUUUUUAGAGACAAAAGUCGACGGUUAUCUAACGGGCUGCUGCAUCAUCCUAUUUCCGUCUUAUAUCUAGUCCUUUAGCUCAGUUGGUUAGAGCGCUACACUGAUAAUGUAGAGGUCCGCAGUUCAAAUCUGCGAAGGACUACGGAGUAAGAUGGGGAAUUAGCUCAGCUGGCUAGAGCGCCUGCUUUGCACGCAGGAGGUCAUCGGUUCGACUCCGAUAUUCUCCACUAGGAAAGUUCUUUGACAUAUUGGUAGAAAAAUAAAACUUUAUAAGUAAUUAAGAGCAAUUGGCGGAUGCCUUGGCUCACAACAGCGAUGAAGGACGUGAUAAGCUGCGAUAAGCUACACUGAGACGCAAAUAGUCUUUAAGGUGUAGAUUUCCG
rnacentral:misc_RNA from 1 species